rnacentral:rRNA from 1 species
UACGGAGGGUGCAAGCGUUAUCCGGAUUCACUGGGUUUAAAGGGUGCGUAGGUGGGUUGGUAAGUCAGUGGUGAAAUCUCCGUGCUUAACAUGGAAACUGCCAUCGAUACUACUGGUCUUGAAUUUUCCGGAGGUAAGCGGAAUAUGUCAUGUAGCGGUGAAAUGCUUAGAUAUGACAUAGAACACCAAUUGCGAAGGCAGCUUACUACAGGGACAUUGACACUGAGGCACGAAAGCGUGGGGAUCAAACAGG